rnacentral:rRNA from 1 species
AAACCUACGGGGCGCAGCAGUGAGGAAUAUUGGUCAAUGGGCGAGAGCCUGAACCAGCCAAGUCGCGUGAGGGAAGACGGUCCUAUGGAUUGUAAACCUCUUUUGCCGGGGAGCAAAAUGAGGCACGUGUACCGCAUUGCGAGUACCCGGAGAAAAAGCAUCGGCUAACUCCGUGCCAGCAGCCGCGGUAAUACGGAGGAUGCGAGCGUUAUCCGGAUUUAUUGGGUUUAAAGGGUGCGCAGGCGGCGAGUUAAGUCAGCGGUAAAAUUUCGGGGCUCAACCCCGACGAGCCGUUGCAACUGGCU